rnacentral:sRNA from 1 species
GGAUCGAGCGCAGAUCAGCCGCCGCAGCUUAAUUACCUGAUGCCAGUGGGCCGCAUCCAUGCAAGAAGAAUCCCAAUUGCUCGAUCCUCGCCAACGAUUUCUCGCUAUCAACACAAGGAGAAGAGAGAGAGGCAAGGAGGAUGAGGAGCUCCUGGAUGUCUCGAGUAGCUAGCUGCAGGCACGAGUCAAGGAGAGGAGGAAUGUCUUGUGGAUGGCCUCAAUUGAAUUGCUCUCCCUUUCUAUCUCUCUCUCUUCUCAUAUGUCAUGAGAUAGUGGGAUUCUUUUCCCAAUAUUUUUAUGUCUCUUGGAGAGGAGAGGAGAGAGGACGGAUGUGAGGGAGGAGGAACAGCAAGGGAAAUUGGUGCAGCAGCGUGCUGUGCUUGCCUCCGUUUUUGGUUGUAAAUUUUUUGUUCUGGCUGGCUGGUUGAGUGUGCCGCCACCUGCGUGCGUGGGCCGUUCGCAAAACCAGUCGGUGGGAGUAGUCAACCUAGCGAAGGAAGCCGCAGGCCCGCAGCCGCGCAGGCAGGGGGAGAGAGGCGCGCAGCCCUACGAAUGAUGGUCCGUGGGGCCGUGCACGUGCGUAGGACGACGCGCCACGUGCGAGCCAAACCAACCAGGGUGUUUUU